GUAUAAGAGACAGCAGCAGCCACGGUAAUACAGAGGGUGCGAGCGUUAAUCGGAUUUACUGGGCGUAAAGCGUGCGUAGGCGGCUUCUUAAGUCGGAUGUGAAAUCCCUGAGCUUAACUUAGGAAUUGCAUUCGAUACUGGGAAGCUAGAGUAUGGGAGAGGAUGGUAGAAUUCCAGGUGUAGCGGUGAAAUGCGUAGAGAUCUGGAGGAAUACCGAUGGCGAAGGCAGCCAUCUGGCCUAAUACUGACGCUGAGGUACGAAAGCAUGGGGAGCAAACAGGAUUAGAUACCCGUGUAGUCCCUGUCUCUUAUAC
rnacentral:rRNA from 1 species